CCCUGGCUCAGGAUGAACGCUGGCGGCGUGCCUAAUACAUGCAAGUCGAGCGAAUGGAUUAAGAGCUUGCUCUUAUGAAGUUAGCGGCGGACGGGUGAGUAACACGUGGGUAACCUACCCAUAAGACUGGGAUAACUCCGGGAAACCGGGGCUAAUACCGGAUAAUAUUUUGAACUGCAUAGUUCGAAAUUGAAAGGCGGCUUCGGCUGUCACUUAUGGAUGGACCCGCGUCGCAUUAGCUAGUUGGUGAGGUAACGGCUCACCAAGGCAACGAUGCGUAGCCGACCUGAGAGGGUGAUCGGCCACACUGGGACUGAGACACGGCCCAGACUCCUACGGGAGGCAGCAGUAGGGAAUCUUCCGCAAUGGACGAAAGUCUGACGGAGCAACGCCGCGUGAGUGAUGAAGGCUUUCGGGUCGUAAAACUCUGUUGUUAGGGAAGAACAAGUGCUAGUUGAAUAAGCUGGCACCUUGACGGUACCUAACCAGAAAGCCACGGCUAACUA
rnacentral:rRNA from 3 species